rnacentral:rRNA from 1 species
UACGUAGGGGGCAAGCGUUGUCCGGAUUUAUUGGGCGUAAAGAGCGUGUAGGCGGCCUGGAAGGUCAGCUGUGAAAACUCGAGGCUCAACCUCGAGACGUCGGUUGAAACCACCUGGCUAGAGUCCGGAAGAGGAGAGUGGAAUUCCCGGUGUAGCGGUGAAAUGCGCAGAUAUCGGGAGGAACACCAAUGGCGAAGGCAGCUCACUGGGACGGUAUUGACGCUGAGACGGCGAAAGCGUGGGGAGCAAACAGG